AUGCCUCUGCGAGGGGCUCUGAGAUGAGACUUGGGCAUCCAGGUGUGAAAAGCUAGCCCAGAAAGUCUCUUUAAGAAACCUGAGUCAAGGGGAAGGCAGUGGCAGAGGAAAGGACAAGAGUAGUCUAAAGAAAACAGAGAAAGGCUGAGGAGUGAGGCAAACUGAUUUAAAAACAAGCUCAAAAACUAAGUCAAAAAGAAAAUUGACUU